rnacentral:lncRNA from 1 species
AUGGUCGAUGAAUGCUUCUGACACUGGAGUUGCAUCAACCGAGUUCGCUUAUGGAGCUGGACAUGUGGAUCCAAUAGCUGCUCUAAAUCCUGGACUUGUCUAUGAACUGGACAAAGCAGACCACAUCACCUUUCUCUGCGGCUUGAACUACACAUCGAAAACCCUUAAACUCAUUACCGGUGAAGCUGUCACUUGCACUGGAAACACCUUACCAAGAAACCUCAACUAUCCUUCAAUGUCGGCUAAACUUUCGAAAACUAAUAGCUCCUUCACCAUCAGUUUCAACAGAACCGUCACCAACGUCGGUACCAUCUCUCUGUUUCAUGCACUUAAAUAUUCUCCAGAUUUUUCUUUUGUCCUAAUAUAUAUAUCUAUGUUUGUUUUCCUCAGGUCCCCACAAGGCACUGUUCUAAAAACUGAGGCAGUCUUUUAUCAGAAAGCUCCUAAAGUUGCUUCCUUCUCUUCUCGCGGUCCAAACACAAUCGCUGUUGACCUUCUAAAGGUGACAUAUACUGUUUUAUCUUUGUUCGAUUUUGUUUACAAAUAUGGUUUUGACCGAAAAUGUUUGAUUUAAAUGCAGCCGGAUAUAACAGCACCAGGAGUGGAGAUUCUCGCUGCUUUUUCACCUUUGGGUUCACCUUCAGAAGACAAGGAAAGAGACCAAAGACAUGUGAAGUACUCUGUUAUAUCUGGAACUUCAAUGUCCUGUCCACAUGUCACAGGCGUGGCUGCAUACAUCAAGACUUUUCAUCCUGACUGGUCUCCAGCCGUGAUCCAAUCUGCCAUCAUGACAACCGGUAACACGCAAAAAUCAUAUAAAUCUUUUAGUUUCUUGUAAUACAAGUAACCUUCUGGCUUAUAACUCUGUUCUUAUAUGGUGUCUCUUAAUUGAUAUUUGCAGCAUGGUCGAUGAAUGCUUCUGACACUGGAGUUGCAUCAACCGAGUUCGCUUAUGGAGCUGGACAUGUGGAUCCAAUAGCUGCUCUAAAUCCUGGACUUGUCUAUGAACUGGACAAAGCAGACCACAUCACCUUUCUCUGCGGCUUGAACUACACAUCGAAAACCCUUAAACUCAUUACCGGUGAAGCUGUCACUUGCACUGGAAACACCUUACCAAGAAACCUCAACUAUCCUUCAAUGUCGGCUAAACUUUCGAAAACUAAUAGCUCCUUCACCAUCAGUUUCAACAGAACCGUCACCAACGUCGGUACCCCAACCUCUACAUACAAAUCGCAGGUUGUCUUAAAUCACGGGACA